rnacentral:lncRNA from 1 species
AUGAUAAUCAGAGAAAGGUCUUCAACAAAGAGGAGUUCACUCUUUGGCAUUGGUAUCAAGGUACCCCUUGACAUGAAAGUGAAAGAACAAGCAUAUCACAUCUUUCCAGAGUGUCACUUUUACUCAAAAGCUGACAAUUCUGGGUUCCCUACCGUAGUUCAUCUCUACUGGUUGCCACCACCUCAUCACUACCUCUCUACAUCUCCCGACCUUGCUCCUGGAUCAAGUUUUCUACAAGCCAGAUAUUUCCUAUUGGCCCUUUGUGACUUGUUUUCCUACUUGAUUUUCUGCAGCUAAGCUAAACCUUCCAUCUCUACUAUGUUCAGGCUGGCAUAACCAUCACAGACAACAAGAAUAGCACACAAUGACUUUAAUUAAUGGAGCCAGGAAUGGGUCAGCUCUAUUUUAUGUGGUGAUUUGCUUAUUUGAAUAAUCUGCCCUAUAGAAGAUUUGUCAAUUUUUCCUGCUCUGUUCAUCCCAUAAUUGUGGCUAUAGGGCAUUCAACAGUCUUUAGGACUUCUUUAUGUACUCUUGAAAUAUGUAUCCAAAUGAAUCUAAUAAUUUGAUGUGAAAUUAGAUAAAUUAUAUUAUAUAGUGCAGUGGUUUUUAUGAAAACAACAGGGCAUGCUAUGUCCUGCAUUAGAGAACAUAUUUAUUUCUCAAUCUAAGAGUCAUUAGGGAUUCUGAGAGUCACUGGUAUUAUGCCAUUGGCUUCAAACAUUAUCAACAAAGGCCACAAUGUAAUGAGCUAACAUUUGUUUAGAAUAUUCAUCCAUUACUAAAUAUCACUUUCUUCCCUUACAGCAAUUUGUUCCAAACUACAGCAUAAAAUGUCACAUUAUUGAUGUGGCAUUAUCAAGUUUCAUCAUGAUUGACCUGAUGUCACACUGUUUUGUAACACAACUGGUUGCUGUCAAUCAAAAGUACUUACAGAAACCUGUUACAAACAUAGGGAACAAUUUGUGCCAGCAAAGAACCAUCUGUACACUCUUCACCUUAAAGAUGAGCCUUGUGGUUAUUCAAAAAGUCAUUAAAAUUUAAUGUGAAUUUUUGCUAUGUAUUUUUGCCUUUGAUUGAUCCCUGAAAUUUUUAACAUUUCAAUAGUCAUUCCAUAUAAGUAAAAAUAUUUAGGACUUUCCUCUAUGUAGGAGUUUUCAUUGACGGUGGUGACAUACCAG